rnacentral:rRNA from 1 species
UACGGAGGGUGCAAGCGUUAUCCGGAUUUACUGGGUUUAAAGGGUGUGUAGGCGGGCUUUUAAGUCAGUGGUGAAAUCUCCGGGCUCAACCUGGAAACUGCCAUUGAUACUAUUAGUCUUGAAUUUUGUUGAGGCAGGCGGAAUAAGUCAUGUAGCGGUGAAAUGCAUAGAUAUGACUUAGAACACCAAUUGCGAAGGCAGCUUGCUAAACAAUGAUUGACGCUGAGGCACGAAAGCGUGGGGAUCAAACAGG